rnacentral:rRNA from 1 species
AACGAACGCUGGCGGCAUGCCUAACACAUGCAAGUCGAACGAGACCUUCGGGUCUAGUGGCGCACGGGUGCGUAACGCGUGGGAACCUGCCCUUAGGUUCGGAAUAACUCCCCGAAAGGGGUGCUAAUACCGGAUAAUGUCUUCGGACCAAAGAUUUAUUGCCUUUGGAUGGGCCCGCGUUGGAUUAGCUAGUUGGUAGGGUAAAAGCCUACCAAGGCGACGAUCCAUAGCUGGUCUGAGAGGAUGAUCAGCCACACUGGGACUGAGACACGGCCCAGACUCCUACGGGAGGCAGCAGUGGGGAAUAUUGGACAAUGGGCGAAAGCCUGAUCCAGCAAUGCCGCGUGAGUGAUGAAGGCCUUAGGGUUGUAAAGCUCUUUUACCCGGGAUGAUAAUGACGGUACCGGGAGAAUAAGCUCCGGCUAACUCCGUG